rnacentral:lncRNA from 1 species
CACCGUCUCUCUGGCUGCAAGGCAACCCCACCCGGCGUCUGCUUUGCUUAGGGGGUCCUCCCACCCAAACUCCUGGCUUCUUCCCAGUGUCCAUCUCUGGAGACAGCUGCUCCACCCUGCUUUCUGUGUGUCCCCCAUCCUCUCCGCAGCCCCCAGUGUCUCCAACUCCUUACCCAGGUUUGGACCACGAGCCACGCCACUCUUUGGCCCAGACCCUGGCCAUGGCGGGUGGGUGGGCUCCGGGGGAAUGCAAGAAGGGAGGAGUGCUGUGUCCGGCCAGCAGCAAGACCAAGUGACAGUGAAGACUAGGAGUCCGCAGUGUAAGAGCAAGAACUGAGCGUCCAGCGCCCCGGCGAGCAGGUGCCUGUGGCGAGGAGCGCACCAGGGAGCCAGCAGGCAGUGGCCGUGCCCACAGGGGCCAGAAGCAAGUAUAAGAACCUCCGUCCCCACCCUCCAACCCAGACUGGAGUUCCAGCAGUUGUAAGUCAGCUGACAUGGGUCCUGGGAACAGAACUUCGUGUUCCUCUGGAAGAGAUGUAAGUACUCUUAACCACUGAGCCAUCUCCCCGGCCCUGACCUGUUUCUUACUUAUCUUGUCAGCCCAUAAACCUGUACAAUGUACCUCUCAUUUUCA